ACUCACCCAGCGGCACGCCACUCACCCAGCAACGCCGUACUUUAUUGGAAAGCCCCCAAAAAAUUCCAAGUCCAACUGAUCCAGAAAGAAGCAACCUAUCCCACAUGUGGCGUACGAGGCGUCUUUAUAUAACAGCUCUGAGAAAAUAUGCUGUGCUGAAAGGUAUACUUUGAAACGGAUGCCAAGUACAUGGACAUAUGAUCCUUGCAAAGAGAAGGACAAUGGGAUGGAAUUAUCUCAUCCCAAUUGCUUUUUUUCUGUAUAUGCCCUUCUGUGUGGCUUAAAGAGAGGCCUUGAACAUCAGAGCAAUGAUUAUAUGAAGUCUGUUGGUACCAUGCACUGAAAAACCCCACAUCAUGAUCUUCUCACCUCCAAACUGUGUUGUGUUUGGGUUGAUGUGCCACGAUAUUUCUCCUCAAACCAUGAUGUGACAUCCUAAUAAAUUUGGUCCUAUC